rnacentral:rRNA from 1 species
CUACGGGUUGCUCCAGUGGGGAAUAUUACACAAUGGAGGAAACUCUGAUGCAGCAACGCCGCGUAGAGGAUGACACUUUUCGGAGCGUAAACUCCUUUUAUAUAGGAAGAAGAUGACGGUACUAUAUGAAUAAGCGCCGGCUAACUCCGUGCCAGCAGCCGCGGUAAUACGGAGGGCGCAAGCGUUACUCGGAAUCACUGGGCGUAAAGAGCGUGUAGGCGGAUUAAAAAGUCAGAAGUGAAAUCCUAUAGCUUAACUAUAGAACUGCUUCUGAAACUCUUAAUCUAGAAUAUGGGAGAGGUAGAUGGAAUUUCUGGUGUAGGGGUAAAAUCCGUAGAGAUCAGAAGGAAUACCGAUUGCGAAGGCGAUCUACUAGAACAUUAUUGACGCUGAGACGCGAAAGCGUGGGGAGCAAACAGGAUUAGAUACCCUCGUAGUC